rnacentral:rRNA from 1 species
AGACGGGGAUAACGCGGCGCUCGUCGAGAGGCGGACGUCGUGCCUCGCCGACCUUGAAAUACCACUACUCGCAUCGUUUCCUUACUUACUCGGUGAUGCGGAGCGCGUGCUGUCCGGUCAGUGGUUCGGCCGCGUUGCGGCGCGACGUUGCGCGUCGUGUUUUAGCGGGCGCGUUGUACGCUCUUCGCACGGGCCGUUCGCCGUCUUCGUGUGUGCGGCGUGGGCCGGGUUUCGCGACCUACCCCGUCGUGCGCGCGCGAGCGAGUUCGGUCACGGCGUUGCCGGCGUGCGCGCGUUCGCUCGCGGCGUUUCGCGUUGUCGCGGCAGCGUUGUUGUCGGGCCCGUCGCGACCGUCAGUCACGAUCGAUUCCCGGUCGACUUAAGCGCGAUCAUCGCCGCCGGUCGUUGCGCACGGUCUACGGCGGCGGUCGGCGUGCGUGUGUGCGCGGGCACUUCGCGGUGUUCGGGCGCGCUCGUGCGCAGGCCGUCGCCCGCCGUGUUUGCAGCCUGGCGACGUCGCGUGAUCCGAUCCGAGGACACCGCCAGGUGGGGAGUUUGACUGGGGCGGUACAUCUGUCAAAGAAUAACGCAGGUGUCCUAAGGCCAGCUCAGCGAGGACGGAAACCUCGCGUAGAGCAAAAGGGCAAAAGCUGGCUUGAUCC